UAGAGACUGACUGACUCAAUAAACCCAUUUUUCAACUGUGGGACCAUGCACUUGUUGCGGCACUGGUUUCUCAUACUGGUCUACUGUGAAACUGCACAUGAGGGGGAGAUUACACAGUAGUAAUCGCACGAACUCACAAGAACCCACGGAUUCACGUGCAACAGCGCGAUAACGAGUUGUCUCUAUAAAGACAGCCACAGAGGCUAACCAUAAAAGCAGUAGAUUGUGUCCUUCCAGAGGAGGAAAUCCACUUCUAGACUUCUAAAAUCCGCAUCCUCUCAUCCAUGGUGUCAUCGGGCUUAAUCAAUGCUGAAUUUAUUCGGCAUGCUCUGGCGUCCGGAAAAAAUAGUAUCUUGCGAUCAGCUGCAGAGUCCGGCGAUCUGCAGCGGGACGAAAAGAUGCCGGUGGAAAUCGACACAUUAACUUGAAUAAAAACGAUCAGCUGCUAUCGGCGGAUACGGCCUUUUCGUAGCUGUUCCGAAUGCAGUGAAAAUUGGGGGUAAGUUUUCACUUUAAACUCUUCAAAUCAAAGCUGUGAAGUUGUUCUCUGUCAAAGAAACAAGUUGUCUGAGGCGAGAUGAAUAUUAAUGCGCUUGUACUGGACUUUCUUCUUCCUGCACCUCAUUACUCCAACAGGUCAAACCUGCACCACUAGACGCUGCAGCUCAGCUGUCAUGGUAUGUUUGUGGUUAUUUCCUCCUGUUCACCUCCACGUGUGCAUGUAUCCUGUUUCCAUUAGAUAUAAAGUUAUUAGAAAACUCGAUCGCAGGAGUUCAGCAUUCCAAAUAACAGGACGGACGGGUUCAGUGGACACAUCUCUGUUUCUGAAACAAUGGUGGGUCUUAAAAAUGAGAGAUGCAGAGAUAGUGUAUCAUGAGAAAAAGACUCAAAGUGUCUGAUUCCUCCUUUCCCACAAAUUUCAGGCUGUUCUUUUCACCUUUUCUGCAUCUAAACUUUAAGUUUUCUUUGUUGAGCCUGAGUGUGAAACUCCUGCCGCAGAAACAGCCGUGUGAACCCCGUAUGACACAACAUGAAGAAUCGAUCAUGUGCUUUUUUAGCGCGAGGUCCCUCCUCCUGGUAUCUCCUAACUAACAUGUCAGUAUUUUUCACUGAUAACAAAGAGCAGUGGGGUUGAUAGCAGAGGGGAGUGUCGCCUUCACUCCACUCGGCGGUACAGUAGUGCAGGACUAACCUUAUCUAGGUCACCUACACUGAACCCCCAGCACCUCCUCCUCCUCAUGCUCAUGCUCUACUGGACACACUGAUAAGAAGAAUGAGUCCAUUCAGAGCGUCUAUCAGGCCGGCGGCUCGCUCACUGAGACCGUGCCAAACCUUCACCAGUCCCAGCCAUGUCUUUGUCCAUCCGAUCGCCCAUUCUUGACUCUCUUUGUCCCUCGCUUUUUCUCACACACAACAAGGAGACAAACUUUCUGAGGUGGAGGGAUGUCUCGCCUGAAUAGACAACAACAGUCGCCCAUUCACUCUCCCAGUCCUCCCUUUCUCUCUUUUUUUUUUCCACAGUCGCUCAGCCCAACAAAAAUCUCCUCCUUGUUCUUCCUCAUGUCACCGCUGACUUUCUUUCCUGUCUUUGCUCGGUGAAAUAAAUGCGGCCGUUCAUGCUCCUGUGCUUCUGGCGCUGGUAUGCUGUCUAACAUUACCCAUGGGGGGUAAGGUUUCCUGUAGCGCUGCAGGAGGUCUGGUCUCUCUCACAUUACCACCUGUUGGCUGGUUCUCCUGAAGGUGGAGGGGAGCAGAAAUGAUGCAGCAAAAUGUGUACGUUCUAGUUCUUCAUUCAGAUUUUUGGAGAGUGUUGCAUAACAGUGAUGUGUUUAAAUGCUGAAUGGACCAUGACCAGGGUUGAUAUUUCAGAUUGUGGACGUGUUUGUUUUGGAUUGUGUUUUAAAGGUCUUCUAUCUGCGCCGCCUUCCUCUGUAAUUGCAUUCACCAUCAGCAGAUUACUGUAAUCUAUUUUAUAGCCAUCAUUACAUCUUAUAUGGCUUCCCAUUACUUGGCAGUGCUUGAUUUGUGUUAUCAUGAACUUCAACUUUACCACCAAACUCCAGCAGAGCAAUGAAAGCGUGAAUCCGGUCUGUCCAGCAAAGAUAAGCAUUAAAGGGACAUUCCAGCGUAAAUUUAAGUUAGGGUCAAACACACCAUAACAACGAGUUAGACACCCCCUUGAGAGAUGAAUGUUGCCGACCACUUGUUUCUCUAGUUAUACCAACUUUAGUAUUGAUGGCACAAUAGCAAUACACAGCAGUCUUCAUCUCCAUAAACAAACUGCGACCAAAAAUAGCCACAAAUAAUGCUCAGAACAGCACCUAACUUCAUCAACAGUACAUAUAGGGUCCCAGCCAUAGUACUAGCCACCAAACAUCUUUUUAGCUUUGCCUAAUUUCUUUAACAAAGAGAUUAAACACAACUCACCCACUCUCCUCCAGCAGCCGCUUGUUUGUGGGAGAACCCUGAAGAGUCGAACACCGAGCGCGGCAGAAAAUUUAUGAUCAUUACUUCAUGGAAACGCAAUCAGACCGAAACGCUAAGGCAGAAGAACUACCGAGUCUGGAGUGCGCAUACAAGAUACACAAGAGCUCUGAUUGCAUUUCCAUUAAGUGAUGAUCAGAAAUUUUCCGCUGCACUCGGUGAUCGACGCGUAAAUCCUCAAAUUCCCCAAAGUAAUGUUAGGUUUAAGAACGUCAGUUUUAAAAUAUUGAGAUAUUUGCUCAUGUGCUGUCUCACAGAGUGGUGAAACUCUUCAUAUCCUUACUUUUAAGAGAUUAAACCUCUGUUCAUAUCCAGUCAUGUCAGGAGAUGUUCUGACAGGUGCGCUUUUUAGCAUUUUGUCUUUUAAAUGUGUUGCUGGAAUCCAAAAUGAUCAUCUGUUUUUCAUUGAACAACAAUAUUUUAAACUUUCAAUGGGUAACAAAGAGUUUAAAACAUUUACAAAUCUGUUUUGCGAAGUUUGUCAACAUGACAUUGACAGAGAUUUACUUUAUAGCACCAAAACCAGUCUUUAAAGUUACUCGUAAUCAUGUCAGGCCAACUGGAACUGCUCAAAACUGAAUUAAUUAAAGUCAAACUAAGAUACCGAUAAUGUAGUUGGAAUUGAUUUUCUAUCGGAUAUCUGUGGGAAAACAGUGGUCCAAAGAUGCUGUGGCAGUAAGGGAGUGUUACAAAAAGGUAAAACAUUCAACCCUUUGCGUCAAAAUAACAUCAGAGACCGACUGUCCCUGUUCAAUUGUUACCUGAAUGUGCUCUGCGGACAGUCUCCACAUUUCUGCAAACACACCAAACCCUUUCUGUGGUGAAACACGACACAUUGUUCUUCUGGGAAAUACAUAAAGAUAAAGACAAGAAAAGAAAACCUAAGGAAAUCAAAGGUUCAGCUCAUGUCACACAAACACACAAACAUCUUUCACCACUUUAACAAAACAUCACCACUUCUAAAGACUCUCUUUCAUUUCAGGGGAGCGUUUGUCUGGCGCCAUGUAAGUUAGGAAGGAAGCUCCUUCAUUGUAAACAGAAAUGUACAGCAAGAUCACGCCCUAGAUAGACCAAAGUAGCCUAAAUAGCCUCAAUGAGAGUGUCUAAAAGUGGAGGAAACGUGUGCGACUGCAUGUGGUGAUGAGGUGAUAAAGUGCAGCAGUGGCGGUGGCGGCCCUCAUCGUCUCAGACUGGUUCAGGAGAUGGCCGAGAUUCUGGAGGUCUUAUGACAGUUGAUACACAUCACUCAUAUGAGCGACAUGUAGCUUUAUCUAAAGUGUUUGAAGUCUGGAUGAAAAUGUAAAAAGAAAAUUCAUUUAUGAUUAAUUAUCUGUCAGGUGGGACUUGAAAACAGCAUGCAGACAGAGCAGAAAGGAUGCUAAUCAAUCCUGUUUCGUUGGUCUCUUCUGUAAGUGAAUUAAGAGAGGGGUUGUCAUGAGAAAACUGGAGAAAAUACUCAUUAAUAAGAGGGAGCUCACAUCGAGACUUGGCCAACCCAUGAAGCAGCAGCAGCGGAGGAGGCACCACAGAUGAGUGUCGCAACAGCACGUUUUUAGAGCUGCCUUUACGUCAUCUUCCAACAUUGUCUCUAAAGGAUUGGUACGACGCAAUGUACCAGAUCCACUUGUGUUCUGAUUAUCUAAACAAAAAGUUUUGAGUGUUUUUCUCAUCUGUGAGUGUCAGCAUGUGUUCUAGCCUCAUCUGGAGAGGUGUAGGUGGUAAUUGGAUUGCAUCCAGUGGCGGCUGCUGGUCUUUCAAGGAGGGGAAGCUCAUUUUUCUGGCCUACAUCAUAAUUGUAUUUGUUUAUUAGUAUGUAACAGAACAGAGUCGCCAAACACAACGGCAGUCGUUUUUAACAAAGAUAACAGUCGCUGAGGAUCGGUAAAGUCUCCGGAGCAGUUAAGAACAACGGAAUGAAUAACUUGGGAAAUGCUCUGGUAGAUGUUUUAUUCUUCAAGAUCGCUGAUUCGCUUGUUUAGCUGUCAAUCAAAAAAGGAUUUCGCCUCAGACAGCUCAUCCAAUCAUGGAUGCAGAAGCUUGGAGUCCGGGAGAAAGUCGGGACCGCCCUCUCGCCAUAGAACUCCAGUGAAGCUUAGCUUCCGAUGGGCGGGACAAAGCCCAGCAUUUAUCCAAUGAGCGUCUAGUUUCGCUGCUGGAACAACCCACUUUUAGCUUCCACAUUGAAGUCAGUAGAAGCCCAGCGUCCGGCUGUUUAAAGCGCUGAGGCGCUGCGAGGAUGAAUGAGAACGAAGUUAUGCCGGUUACCUGUGAUUAUCAGCUUCUUAUCACAGUGUCUGAACAAAAGAUGAAGGCUUUCUAGUGCGUAUUUAGUUAAUGAAAUGUACACACAGCCGUACGUAUUUCACCACUUUUUCUUUUUUUUGAGGGGUGACAUUUUAAGGGAAGCCGAGCUUCCCUUGCAGUCUUAGAGCAAUCGCCACUGAUUGCAUCGUACUCACCUGCGAUGACGCUUUGUCUUCUGGCACCUGUUCGACCAUCACCUGUGCCUGUGUCCCCAUUGUCUCCAGUCUCUCUCUCCCCACAUUGAACAGCCACUUUUUAGAUGAUACUACGUUGUACACGUCUUGAAGUAGGUUUUGCUCGAACCACAGUGUACAGUAGUUUGAGCCACUUUUCUUCGAUGUACACCUGAUCCCCCUGGCUUGGCUGGCAUCUCCAUCUCCCGAUCAGAUAGCUAGAAUAAUGCAUUGUGAAUAGCUGCUUCAUAUAUUCCUUUAGCUCAUUAGGCAACUGCUCAAAUGAAGGGCCUUCAUAAGGUCCUCUACACGCAGGAUAAGACACGGUUCUGCCAGUCAGCAUUUCAUGCAGUGAAUGAUGAUUAAUUAGGAUGAUGUCUUCUGGUGUAGCAGCAGGUUCAAGUGAUACUACUGGGGCUGAAAUAGUCAUCUGACAUUUAGAGGUAUUUAUUUUGGCUUUGGAGAAGCGUGCGUUGAUUCGGCCAGUCUUCCACAAUCUCAUUUACAACUCUGAAGUCGUGCUCUGAUCAAUAUUUGGAUUUAUCAGCUUUUAAAGAAUCAAAAUGGGAGUGUUACAGACGCUCUGGGUCUGGACUGACACUCCUAGCCAAGGACAAACCAUAUCGUUUUAUAAUCAACAGGAAAUUAACACUUCAGGGAAUACUCGCCCUAGCUUUCCUGCAACUGCCGAGGUCAACAUGACUUUAAGAAAUCUGGGAGUACUCAGGCUAAACUUACAAAUAUUUGCAAGACUGAUCCAACAAAUGUCCCAGCCCAGCAUCAAUCAUUGGCACAACUGUCUAUGAUUUCCACCACAAGCCCUGAAUUGGCCUCUUAGACAUUUUGUGACUUAAAAAAAUGACUUCUUCAUGAUCUAAUGUCGCACAAAAUCCUUACAAGACAACCGAAAUGACCGGCCUUGUCUUCUAAAUCAGUUUAUCAUUACCAUCAUUACAGGAACUCACGUAGGCACAUGGUUUGUACUAAUCACACUCGAAUUUUGAGGAAGUCAGGUGUUUAAUCUCAGAUAUGUGGGUUUCACAUCCAUCAUGGCAUCAGUAGAGAUAAAGCCCCGCACUGACUGUGACACUGACAAAUUGACAAAUUCCCACAGAUGAUCACGAGGAAGAUGAAGUCAUCUGAGGUGAAUCUGGAACGAUUCCUCUUAAACGUUUACCCGCCUCUGAAACCUCUGUUGUGGUGGGAAAGAAUAGGAGCAGCUGUGUAAAUGUCAAGCGUAUUGACGUAUGGGGGGCAAAAACCAAAGACCAUUGAGGAAAAAUAUACCAACUACCCAGAAUUCACCACUAAUAGAUACCACCUAUGUGUGCCAACUGUCUAUUAACCUAACGGCAUUUAUUGAGGUCGUACAGGUGUGCUUCUGCUUCUGUGGGGUUAUGUAACAGUUAAUGGUUGACCAGUGUUAACCUGAUUCAGGCAACUAACAGUGAGUUAAUGAGUAAAAGUGGAAAUGAUAAAAAACCAGAGGUACGUUGAACUUCUGAAAACAUAGAAAUACUUCAAAAAGACAGCAUCAAUGAUUUCCCAGCUGCGUACCGACUGUUAAAACAAACCACAUAUCUGAUGCAUCAGGUCCAGGGUGCGGUUGUCUCUUGUCUGCCCCAGACUACCAGCACCAUAUGUUGGUCCUCUGAUAGUAUACAGUUACUCUGAUAACAUACUGUACGUCCGUACAGAGGAGAAUCUGAGCGGGAAGAAAACCGCAAAGAUCUUCAGUUUAAGAUUGAGGAGCAAAUGUACCCCAUGCUUGUUCUUCUUGACUUUAUCAUUUACUAAGUCGGCGGUUCUUUAGCUAUAGAUGUCAUUGUCUGGUGUUUCUGAACCACAUUCAUGUUAAAUAAUUAUCACACAAAUUUGCCCUGAUAGCCUCAACAUAGGAGUGUGAUUGUAAGACAACCGCUUUUUUAGGACGUCUUUUCAGGCGAAGACUUUUUGAAAACUAAGUCUUGUUUUUAUAAAGAAAAAAGUUUUAAGUGAGAGUUCCUGUGACACAAAGAAAGUGUUAUUUUUUCACUGAAUCAUCUCAUGUAUUUCGUUUUGGAGUAAAUUAUGAUUAAUGUGUAAAUGAAGCACCAGUCGUAUCAGCAUUUUCAUACAAUAAAAAUGAAAAUAACCUCCACGUUUAAGGAAUAUCAUGUGUUAACAAGCCACGCAAGAUCACUUUGGGGACAAAAUACAUGCGUUAGAGGGUAGUGUUGUGUCAUUCACGAAUGAUUCGUUCAAAAGAACCAAAUCUUUUAAGUGAACGAACUGAACCGAAUCACUUUGUCAAGUGAUUUGUUUGUUUCUGUCAGCAGCGCGGUGCCACAGCACACUGCAUUCCCUGGGUGAGCAGUUGUCGAGUUAGGGAGCACACACGCCGUCGCCUGAAUCACUUGGUGAACGAAUCACGCCGUGAACUGCACUCUCUGGAAUCAUUUUUGUCUGAGCGACACACCUUCAUGGCGACCACUGUUCCCCGUUGUUUUAACAGAUUUAGUAGGACACAGGUAGUGAAUAAAACCUGUAGCUUGAGAAAUGCGUGACCGAUCCUAUCAUUGCGGCGAUUUGUGAGGGGGCAGUGCACGUUCAGUGUGAAUUCUUUCAUUUUGAGCCCAAUUCUUUCACUCACUAAGCCCAAUUUAGUACACGAAUAGCAUACCAUUGGACAGUACACCUAAAACCUCAUGAUUUAUAAACAAGUUAAUUUUUACAACCCUGUUUAUCAACACACUCACAACACUCUCAUCUCCCAGUCCCAGAAUCUUUGAUCUGAACUGAAUCCUGAACCGUUCAGCUGUUUAUCACUUCAGGAAGUUGCCAAGCGCUGAAUGACUCAGUGAUUCGGUAAACAAAUCUUUUGAACGAAUCUUUUUAGUGAACUGAUUCUAGUGAUUCAGUGCAUCUAAAAAAGGGCUUAUGAGACCAAAAGAACAUGUCAGACUUUACAUAUUAUUUUGUUAUUUUACAUGUAUAUUAUAUAUAUAUAUAUAUUUAUAUUUAUAUUUUGUUAUAUUAUUUGUUAUUUUGUCUAUAUACGUACAUUCUGAUCCACAAUAAAUGUGAAUAUUUUUAACAUGUGAUGGCGGUUUGUACAAAAAAUAGCACUUUUGCAAUGUUUGAAUUCAUCACUAAACAUAUCAAAAGGACUGAAUUUUCCUGCCUUGGUUCAAAAUUCAAAAGUCUAAAGUAUAAAGUGACUCUACCAGAGAUGCUGCAGCCUGUGUGUUCAGUGUAGCAAAAGCUGAAGCAGCUGAAAUGUCUUCCAGUGAGCGCCUCGCCUCCAGGCCCAGAGUCUGUCCGACAAAACACGAAAUGACAGCCUCAUUGUAGAUCGGACAAACAGCGAGACACGAAGAAGACCUCCAGGGCCACGGCUGCAAAUCUGAAAGAUGUUUGUCUGUGAGGGAACCAGAAAUAGAGGGAAAAUGACACAAAAAGUCCUGAAAAAUAAUGCAUGAACGCACUUUACAACUGUUCAGGUGUUUCUUUUAUUCAGUUUGAAGAGAUUUGAGCCACUAGAUGAAGACUGUUGGAGCAGCAGAGAGAUUUUUAGCAGGUCAGAUGUGUGAAUAUGUUGUGAGCUGGUCUUUUACGCCCGCUAAUCUUUUAAUCUGUUGACCUACAAUGCUGUUUUCAUCCCUCCAUGUUUGCUAUAAUGGGUAUGAUUCUCUUAAGCUGUGUGCUGUACAUAAACAGACUUAAGCUGCAUUUUUCUGCUUCCUACAGAGCUUUCAUUUCACAAAGAUAUAGGACUCCCACCCUGGGAUUUUCAGGAGGUUUCUGCCCAAUUCCUCCGCCAUGAAUCCAAGCCUUACUUGGACAAAAAGGAAAGAGGGGGACUUGAAAAAGGGUUCAUCAGAGGUUACAUAAGAUCAGAAGGGUGCUUCCUCUCUGCAGCUCUGAUCAGUUGUUCUGAUCUCGUCGCUGAUAACAAUAAUUGCUCUUAAUUAUCAGGCGGUAACACACAGAGGCAUCAGGAAGCUGCUCUGGCUGGGUGUAUGAAACGCUCUGAAUCUGCUGCAUGAGCCCGCUGACCUGAUUUCUGCUUUUUGAAGUUUGUUUUUUCUAUUUCUGACACGCACGGCUCGAGGCUUCUCAGCUGCUACAAAACCUCAAAAUUGAGGUUUUGAAUUUUACGAGCAGUUUUAGUCCAAUUCUGGUAAAAUUCGCCUGAUUUUAUGUGACUUUUCUUUGACCCACACAUCUGAUGUCACCAACACAAACACCUUAUCAACCCGGCUUUAAAAAACAGAUACGGACUGUGUCUCAGUGUUGGCAAAGCAAACACAAACCCCUCCGUCAUUUGAAGUAAAAACAGACUCAGAGUAAUACAGUGGCUGAUUACCAUCGGAUUUCCUCCCCUGUGAGCUCGGGGGCGAGCGUGAGGGGGCCAGAGACCAGACACCUUAUGCAACCAGGCAGGAUCUGUGCAGCACCCACAUAUGAACCCGAACCGAUGCACAAACAACAACAGAGACGAGGGAACUGGUUUGUCUGAAGAACAGAGGCGUCCAGUCUGAGGAUAAUGAUCUCAGAUUUAUCUGUUUGUACAUCACACAGGGCAUGGAGUGGCCAUCAGAGUUUAAGGGUUCACAAGAGGUAGGGACACAUUCAAGGGGGAGGAAGGUGAAAUUUAAGGGUUAUCAGGUCAAGAUUGAAGGUAACUAAAAAUGUUAAUACAACAGUUUUCGUCUGGGACUUUGAUUUUUUCAUCUUACAUUUCAAAAUGUGGAAAUAUUGAUAUUUAUUUGCGUUAAAAUCAGAUAUUUUAAAUGCGGGUGUGAAUUAGAGUAAAAUCUUCAGAUACUGCAUAAACUUAACUGUUUGCAUUUUGAAUCAAUGUGCCAAUUAUACAGAAUGUAUCAAAGCCUUUAUUUUAAAGGUGCAGGAAUAGAUGGAGGGAUUCAAAUCUUCAUUUUUUUCUCUUUAAGGUUUUGUUUUUUGGCAUUUUGCUUUUAUUAGAUAGGACAGCUGAAGAGAGUGAGGAACCGUGGGGAGCGAAAUGAUUAGGGGAUGACAUGUAGCUAAAGGUUGUGGCCAGGAUGCUUGGGCAUUACUAUCUGAGGUCAUUACUAAAGUUUGUAUAACUAGAGAAGCAAGCUGUCUGCAACAUUUAUCUAUCGAGGGGGUGUCGAACUCAGUGUUUGACCCUAAAUUAAUUUUAUACCGGAAUAUCCCUUUAAGCCCAAAAUGCGUGUUGAGCAUGUUCCAUUAGUGUCUCUUGUUAUACAUAUGUUCCCAAUUUAAUCAAUGCAACAUCGCACACAGGAUACGUCGCAACAUGCAACAGCUCGGUCCUAGAUUUGUGUCUACGCUAUGCCUCUCCAAAGAUACACCGAGUCUAUUUUUGAUGAAGCACGCUUCCAACACACGUCAAUCUACAGCGAAAAGGUCGUCCAAGACAGGAUAUCAUGCACAGGACAUCCGAUCUGACAUGUGACACUCCUGACUGUUUAACAGUUUUUGUAGAUGAGAAAUACUUCCUGGUUAUAGAUUUAUCAUGAACACAGAACGACCCCAUGGUCUACUCUGUCUGAAGGUAACAGCGCAGCAUAAAGGAACAUAGUUUACUUUAUGAAACAUGAGUAAACCUGCAAAAUCACAACGCUUGUUCACAGACAGUUGAAGCUCAACAGUCGCAGAAUAAAAUCCAAAUUAGAAAGAAACCGACUACACUGCUGCGACACGCUACAAACACGCUUCCAGUGGGCACUGACUGAUGGAGUCGGAACACAAAGGUGACGAAAUUCGCCCAACACGGAUCCACGGAUUUUCAGUUUUAGACUGCUAGGCCAUUGGCACCUCAAUAGAUGACUAUUUAAUGCAAAAAUAAAAAAUCCAAAGGACUUUUAUAUCAAUCUAAUAUCUCAGUAUAUGCUUUCUUUGUAUGUCAUUUGUGGGUAGUUGCUAGUUUAGUUUUUCCCGUUUUGCGAAACUCAUAAAAUGUGCAAAUUUCCACAUUUUUUAUUUGAUCAGAAGGGGGUGACUCCUUAAAUAUUAAAUCUUUUUUUUUAGACUGAAGCUAAGUGACUUCGAUGCAAAAGUUGAAUGAAAGACAAACCAAGCCUCCAGUUUCCUACAGUGUGUCAAUGAAAGGUGUGUAAACUCCAGGAACAUCCAGUAAAUAAGGGAAAACUUGUUCUUGCGCCUUACAAGCUAAUGGGUUGUUUAAGAGGCUAAUAUUUUGAGUCACAACAACACUCUGUUUUCAGGUUUACAGGGAUUACAUCAGCCUGCUUCCUCCUCAGACCAACAGCUUUUUCCUUAAGAUGAUUAUGAACCAACAAAGGUCUGCAUUUAUCACUAAUUCAGAGCGCUAUAACUGUGUUAAUUCAAGGUGGUUUGCACCUGAGGAUUUGUCCUGAUCCGAAGAAACAAUGAAAACCUCUGUGAAAAAAGAGAGAUGCUGAGCAGAUGAGUGUUUCAUUCCUGGUUUUGCAUCAAGGUCAUUCUUAAGAUCACUCCCUCGAAGACAGAUCUCAUUAUCUUUUUAUAGCACGUAACAGCUUUAAUCCAACCAAUCCAGACCGCAAACACGCAGUCACAGUCGCUGCCUGUUGUUCUGUGAGUCUGCAUGUUCACUGACCAAUAAAUAUCAGCUGCAGACGGCUUUAAAGAGAUUUCCUCGGACUGUAAACCUGAUUCUGUUGGUCAAGCAGCUUGUUAGAGUUUCUCAAAGAUUUACAACCGGGGCCUUCAGCAAACAUGCGCAUCACAUUUCAACCACUGCUGCUAAAAAGUGAAGCCAGAGUAAAAGUGCAAAAAAAAUCACAGUUUGUCAAGUGACUCUGGGGCAAAGUAAAAUGUCAGAUUAUGAUACAAUACAAUCGGAUAGGAUAACAAUAGGAAAAUGAUAUGAUAUGAUAACGAUACAACAACGUACAAUACCGAUACCAAAACGAUAGUAGGAUAUGUAAGAUAAUGAUACAAUAAGUAUAUGAUAACAACAUGACAAAGACACAAUAAAGAAACAAUACACUAUGAUAUGAUGCAAUAAAGUAUGACAAAUGGGAUAUGACAAUGAUACAAUAACGAUAGGAUAAGGAUAGAAGGAUACAUACAAUACGAUAAUGUGACAAUAAUGAUAUGAUACAAUAAUAUUUUAAUGAUGAUACAAUAAGGGUACAUUAACAAUACAAAGAAUGCUAACGAUACAAUAACGCUACAAUAACAAUAUGAUAAAGACAUGAUAUGUAGGAUAUGAUAAUGAUACAUUAUACAAUAUCAAUACCAUAACGAUAGUAGGAUAUGUACAAUAAUGAUACAAUAAGGGAACAUCAACAAUACAAAGAAUGCUAACGAUACAAUAACGCUACAAUAACAGUAUGAUAAAGACACGAUAUGUAGGAUACAAUAAGGAUAUGAUAACAGCAUGAUAAAGAUACGAUAAAGAUCAAUACGCUAUGAUACGAUACAAAAAGAUAUGACACGUAGGAUAUGAUAAUGAUACAAUAACGAGACGAUAAGGAUAGUAGGAGACAUAUGAUAUGAUAAUGUGACGAUAAUGUCAAGAUGCUACUUAAGCAUGCAAAGGAUAAGAUAAGCAAAGACUGCUUUGGCCACAGGGGGCGCCAAAGUUCCCCACAGAAGCUUUAAAUGGUUUGCUUUGAAUUCCUCUCAUUUUUUGAUGCCUUGGGUUUACUGCACCAGCCGCCUCCCAGUGCUGGUUAUAUAAGUGGUGUUCUUUUUAAUAAGGGAUUGAACCCAAUGAAGGGGAUAAUCCAUCAUUUUAUAUUCUGCAUAUUAAAACAGGGCUUCCAGGAAUCCAAUGCCCAGUAGAAAUCAGUGCCCUCCCCUUUUAGUUCAUUUCUCAUGGACAUAAUUCAUCAGCUGUGCUUUAAAAAUUCAUGUACAGUAUGGCUGGGUCGCUAUUCAGUGACUUAUAAUACUGUACAUGUCUCCAGGAUUAUUCCAACCCUGUUAGACUAUGAUGAAGAAAAUCGAAGUGUUAUAAUGCGUUAAAUUUGUUGUUUUUGUGAAAGAGGAAAUAUUUCACAAAAUCCACAUUUGAUAUUUUUUUUGUUUUUCUUUUGACGAAUGGAUGCUCUCUCUUUCCUGCACAUACAAAUAAAAUAUCAUAACAACACAGCACUGUUAUCCUGCAACACAAAACACAGACAUGCUCUUGUUUGGCUUGUGAGGACUAAUGUUUCCUUGCCAGUAAACCCGGAGGAGAUGAGUCGAAAGAUAGAUGCCAGAAAUAACGGGUGUGGAGGGAGGGGAUUCAGCGCACACACUCCAUGUGCCAAGUCCCCCAUCAAAUAACACUUCUGUUGCCCUCUAACUGAGAGGCACAGAAACAAGGCCAGCUCCCCAUUGUGCCCUUCCCCGCAGAGACCGGACUGAAAGAACAGAGGAGGCCUGCAGCGACUGACAGACCCCUUCAAUCCCCCCUCAGUUUACAUUGCGAGACAAAAAAGAGUGAAUAUGGAGACCGGCGAUCUGAAGAGUUGUCUGUACAUUUUAAGGAGGGAAUUUUCCUCACCACCUGCCACCCGUUCAUCCCCUGUUGGGUGGAUGUGAGCUGCCGACACCUGCAGACAAAGAGCUGAAAAGCAAAGAGGGUUUUUAAGAGUCUGCUCACGUCUUUAACAGAAUAAAUCACCACACUCCCUUUGCACUGUAAAACACCAUGCAGGAAUUACUGUAAAAUUAACUUGAUGAGACACACGUUUAGGACUUUUUUAUGCGCGAUGUGUGCAUUAAGUCCAACAAUUUUAUUAUUUCAAUAAACUUUUCUUGUAAUUCUGACAUAGUUAUCUCUUCUGUACAAAUGUAACCUAACCUAAUAUUUUUUACAUUAUUUUUUUAAGCCUAUAUAUGCAGAAGAAGUGUAACCUCACUUGACUCUUCUUGCAUAAUACUGCAGAUAAAACCUGUCUAUUUAGUUCAGACUAACACUGACAAUGCGCUUAGAGGGAAGAUGUUUUCAGACGUUUCUAUUCAGACAAACUCUGGGCCCCUUGGCAACCAAAGCAUUUACUAUUUUUAGAAGCCAUUGUCUUGUUGUUUGCUGAUUUUUUUUCUAUUUGUUUAUAUUAGUCUUCAUUUUUUGCAUCAUCAAUUUUUGGAUUUCUACAAACAAACGAACAAGAGGAAAAACAGAUUGAACCGGACAUCCUUCAAGAGUUUAAAAUUUAACUUCUGCUUUGCCAGUUUUUGAUGGCGUACGUGGAAACCUUGUUUGUGUUUGGUGAAUUUCCAGCUGUAUGCAGUAAUUAGAAGCAAGAGUUAAACCUUGAGCCACAAAAGCCUGUCCUGUUGCUGGUGAUGGUGAGUUUGCACAAUAGCUUCCUUGGUGAUGGCGUGUGUGAGGCAUCUGCUAAGAGCCAAACUUCUCUCAGCGGCGAGCAUUCACAGCCAUGAAAGGAAUAUCAACAGUCCAGGGCUUGACGUUUUCUUUUUUUUCUUUCUACCAGAGUGAAAGGAAGCGCCAAGGAUCUCAGCUUAAAUCCAGUUGGUUACAGGCUCAUUCAGAUGCAUAUGAACCCGGCGAGUUCUCCCCUCUCUCUCCCUCUCUCUGCCUCCUGCUCUGGCUCGAUUUUCUUUAGAAAGUCCAGUUUUGUGUCUCCCUCCGGCUCGAGGCCUCGGUUUCUCUGAAUGUGUCCGGUGAAUAGCAAAGUGCUGCUUGUGCAGCUGACCACUCCUCUAUUUUGCAGAGACGUGCUUUGCAUGGUAACAUUAGUGAACAUAAUGCAUCUAAAUCUAUUCCUAGUGGUCAUUCAUCAUGGCUCUAAUGUCGGACGGUCUGUAUUUGUCUCUGGGAUGAUGACUACUGAAGAGCAGCUGAGAGGAAAGGACAUACAGUACCUCUAUAUCUGGUGUAUCUACAGUAUGUGUGAUUUAUCUCCUCUGUACACACAGCCGCAGUUGGACAUACUUGUCUUGGCGUAAACUACAGUGCAGUGUUUGACAUCACACGUACUAGUGGAUUCACUGCGGAGGAGAAUCAUGGCAAAUAUCCAAGUUUUUUUUAUAGCCAGGCUGCAGGAAGAGCAAAGACAGUGCAGCAUUCAGCCUGUUUUUGAUGGCCUAUCUUCAAUAAGAUAUUACCGAUAUUAAAAGACCAAUCAAAACUCAAGUCAUGAGCAGCCUCUACAGAAGAGUCUUACUUUUAAUCAAACCAAGUAGCUAAAUGUGCUGUUUUCAUAUUAAAGCUCCUGUAAGGGGUUUUUGGUUGGUGAUGAAACACACUGAUAUUAAUCAUGAUGCCUCUAUUUGACGUGCAAAAACAAACAAAACCAUCAGAGAGACAAUUUAUUUUUUCUUCAUUAUUAGGUGUUGGACGAAGUGACCGAAUGCACAUCAAAAAUUCAUCACUGUGACUGAUUCACUGUUUUUGACUUUGAAAAGACCAAAGGAUGACGAUUUUUGUAAAGAGACUAACAAGCAAGACCAAGUCACAAGACAAAACCAACAAAGAAAAAUGAUGUACUACUUGGUGAAUACUACUACUACUACUACUUAUAAUAAUAAUAAUAAUAAUAAUGAUAAUGCUCAGUAAAUGUUGGUUGUUUUAUUAGCCACUUAGCUACUAGCUAGUAGCCUUUAGCUCACUAACGUGACUCAAACAUGUUUUCUUCUCUUAAAGAUGCAGACUGAAGCAGAGAGAAGUGGACCUGCAACUAAACUACAACCUACUCUUCCGCUAUAUGAAAAAAAGAGAAAGUAUGACCAGUCUCCUGAAUCUGUCAAAAUAAACACAGCUGUAGCAGAGUAUAUCUGUGAGGACCAACUACCCAUUUACACAUUGGAGAAACCUGGGUUCCAAGUGAAAAAGUGAUUGUCUUGUUUUUUAUUUUAAAAAAAUAUUUCAUUUUCUGAUUAUUUAGUAGUUUUAUUUAAUUUAUUAUUUAUCUGCC